UUACCCUUCGGAUCUCUGAAUCCAAAUACUCAAUUAAAUAACUAUAAUACAUACAAAUCAUAAUGUAAUCAAUCAACUGCAUUGAGGACCGAAACCUGAUAAAACAUUUGUUACAAAUCCUCAAUUUUUUGAAGAAAAUUAUAUAAACAUAAGCUCAUAAAUUUUUUUAAAAUUUUUUUUAUUGAAAUCUUUACUAAAUCUCGCAUGCAACCUUUUAAAUCCUAUGAUCGCCCGACUGCAUCACAAAACUUAUUUAUUCAGUCAUAGAAAUAUCAAUAGUAUAUUAAAUACUGUGAUGCAUAAAACUUGUGCCAUCUAAAUGAUCAUCUCGCGUUUUAAAAGUAGAAAUAUUGCAAGACGGUAUUCAACAAUAUUUUUGUACGUUUGCGAUUAAUUAAUAGAGGUAGCCCAAUUUUUUACAAUAGUUAAUACUAAAAAGACAAAAAAAUGGGUUUAACAAUAUUUAAUAUAUAUGACGAAGAAGGCUGCUAAGGAAUACAAAAGACGAAUAAUUAGAUCACGACAAAGAAUGUUAAAUCCGUCACUCUUUCUGCAAUCAAACACAUAUAAACUUCCCUACUUGGCAAUAGACUCUUCCCCUUGAGUUUACCCUUAUUCCCAUCACUUUGCUUCAAUAAUACAUAUCUCUCCCAUACAGGGCGGAACUAGAAAAAAAGUUUGUACGGAGCAUAAUUAGAACUGUUCAUAAAACUAAGUAUAGAUUUGUUAAAACAGGAGGGCAUAUUUAGAAUUAGUCAAUACUUUACAUGAGAUUUUCAAAAUGAGUUGGGGGCAGAUGCCCCCCUAUUAUUCCAUGUGCCUCCGCCACUGCUCUCAUAUAUCAAUGUAUGUUUAUAUGUAUACACAUCAUUUGCGAGAUUAGUUUCUCUAUAUAUGAAUACACAUGUAUAUAUAAGCACGUCUCUA
rnacentral:lncRNA from 1 species